AUGCUUGAAAGUAGAUAACUUCAUGUCUCAGCUAAUAUAUUCCCAAAACCUAUUAAAAACAGAGAGUAAAGAUCAAAUAUCAGUAUCUCAGUUACUCAUAACCAAGAAAAACCAAGAAGCAGAUUAAUAUGAAGUUAGGUACUUCAUCUGGAACUAAAGAAACACAUUCAAGACAUUCCCCAGAAGUAAUCCAUAAAGCCAUAUAAUUCAGUGUUAUUGUGAGUCAUAAAACAUACAUGAGAACUCCGACAGGCCGGAUGACACCCAGAAUAAUCCAGGCAGAUGAUGUACAGAACUACAGCCGACACUAGAAAUAGAACAAAACAAAGUUAAACGUGUUAGAUAAUACCAUACCCAUCACAUAUUAUUCCACGACUGUUGCUGUAUAAUUAUUUUGCAAAAAACUUCAAACCUAUACAACUACAAUGUCAGAACUCACUGAGAAGAUAAUGAAGUUACAGGUAAUGUCCACUCGAAUUAUGCACGAGUAUUGACUGCAGAAAAGCAGAGUGCCCAGUUCACAUGUACCAUCGUAAGUAAUAGUAAAAAUUGAAACUGUAGUAGUGUAGAAGAAAUUACUGAAUAGAAAUUACUGAAUAGAAAAAACCAAGAGCUGGAACUAACAGUUACCCGGAUUAUGCACGAAUAUUAACUGCAGAAUAGCAAAGUGCCCAGCUCAUAUGUGCCAUCAUAAGUAAUAGCAAAAAAUUGAAACUGUAGUAGUGUAGAAUUACUGAAUAGAAAAACCAAGAGCUGGAACCUAUAGUCGCCCGAAUCAUGAGUGAGGCUAGGCUAGAUGCUUGGCAGGAUGCCACACAACCUCAAUAAUUAGCUGCACAAAAUCAAGUGCACAAUAUAACUCAUACAAGUUGAUUCAGUUUGGCAACAUCUAAAUUCCCUUCAUCUAAAUUACAUGUGCGCAAUGAAGAUAAAAUCUAACAUUUGGAGGAAUACCAACUCAAGGUUAAUAAAAAUUCAUACAAUCUUGUUAAUAAAUCUAAUUUAAUAAAGAGUAAAAUCCAAUUUUAUUUUGUAGAUGAACUUAGAAGAAAUAACCUAUUGUGUACUCUCCUAUUCCAAAAACUAAAGGGAAUUCCAAGGAUGAAGAUGAUAUCUAACCAGGAUAGGAGACUUCAUAGUAUCAGCAAAACAGUAGAGUAGCAGAUAUCUUAAAGCAAGACAAUCCUAAACAAGAUCAGAACAAAAGAGAGCCCAACUAUUCCAUGCUCCUCCUGCUGAGAUGACCAAUGUAUAACUUAGAACUUCUUCACUGUCACACCGUUAAGAAAAUAAUAUGAAGCCUCUGAAAAAAGACAGCCGAUCCAGAACUAAACCAAAAAAAUAUAACAAAACCUAGACAAGGUCCACCAUAAUAUUGAAAUCCCUCCUGCCAAUCUUUGCUCUUCCUGCUAUAAAAUCCCUUAAGAACACCCACCACAAAAAGAAUAUAGAUAAAUCUGGUUAUGGCAGUAAGAAAUAGUAGAUUCCAAACCUAAUCAUGUCACUAUAUCUAAUAGUUUCUUGCAAAACCAGCUAACCAGUGGAUGGAGGAAAAAGAAAAUACCAACAGGUAACAUAUGAUACACCCAGGAAAAGUUGUUUUACGUUUGAACUUUGAACCAAGUUCCCAAUUAUGGAGGCAGGCUCUGUGAUCAAGAGGAUAUCCAAUUAGAGUAAGGAUAAGAAGAUGCUUAAUCUUAUAUAUCAUAACAAAAAUAUGAAUAAAAUAUUAGAAGUAGAGCAGUUUAUCCAAACCAAGACGCCAAUCAUAAGAUCAAAGAUAGCCCAACCAAGCUGUCCCAAAUUUUCCAAGAACUGAUAAGAGCAAAAAGAACCCAACCAAACUUGCUUAAUAUCGUUGAAGAGAAUAUCCAAUCAGGAAUUCUUGUUGUAGAUAUAAUAUAUUAUCAUAAAACAAUGACAGAAGAAUUGCAAAUUUCUCUAAACCUAGAAGCAGAGUAGAGUUUACCCACUUAAACAGACAGCUCACUGCUAUGCAAAACUGUGAUGCGACAUGACAGGAGAUCUACACCA
rnacentral:lncRNA from 1 species